AACGAACGCUGGCGGCAUGCCUAACACAUGCAAGUCGAACGAAGCCUUCGGGCUUAGUGGCGUACGGGUGCGUAACGCGUGGGAAUCUGCCCUUUGGUUCGGAAUAACAGUUGGAUACGACUGCUAAUACCGGAUGACGACGAAAGUCCAAAGAUUUAUCGCCAGAGGAUGAGCCCGCGUAGGAUUAGCUAGUUGGUGUGGUAAAGGCGCACCAAGGCGACGAUCCUUAGCUGGUCUGAGAGGAUGAUCAGCCACACUGGGACUGAGACACGGCCCAGACUCCUACGGGAGGCAACAGUGGGGAAUAUUGGACAAUGGGCGAAAGCCUGAUCCAGCAAUGCCGCGUGAGUGAUGAAGGCCCUAGGGUUGUAAAGCUCUUUUACCCGGGAUGAUAAUGACAGUACCGGGAGAAUAAGCCCCGGCUAACUCCGUGCCAGCCGCCGCGGUAA
rnacentral:rRNA from 1 species